GACGAACGCUGGCGGCGUGCCUAAUACAUGCAAGUAGAACGCUGAAGAGAGGAGCUUGCUCUUCUUGGAUGAGUUGCGAACGGGUGAGUAACGCGUAGGUAACCUGCCUUGUAGCGGGGGAUAACUAUUGGAAACGAUAGCUAAUACCGCAUAACAAUGGAUGACACAUGUCAUUUAUUUGAAAGGGGCAAUUGCUCCACUACAAGAUGGACCUGCGUUGUAUUAGCUAGUAGGUGAGGUAAUGGCUCACCUAGGCGACGAUACAUAGCCGACCUGAGAGGGUGAUCGGCCACACUGGGACUGAGACACGGCCCAGACUCCUACGGGAGGCAGCAGUAGGGAAUCUUCGGCAAUGGGGGCAACCCUGACCGAGCAACGCCGCGUGAGUGAAGAAGGUUUUCGGAUCGUAAAGCUCUGUUGUAAGUCAAGAACGGGUGUGAGAGUGGAAAGUUCACACUGUGACGGUAGCUUACCAGAAAGGGACGGCUAACUACGUGCCAGCAGCCGCGGUAAUACGUAGGUCCCGAGCGUUGUCCGGAUUUAUUGGGCGUAAAGCGAGCGCAGGCGGUUUGAUAAGUCUGAAGUUAAAGGCUGUGGCUCAACCAUAGUUCGCUUUGGAAACUGUCAAACUUGAGUGCAGAAGGGGAGAGUGGAAUUCCAUGUGUAGCGGUGAAAUGCGUAGAUAUAUGGAGGAACACCGGUGGCGAAAGCGGCUCUCUGGUCUGUAACUGACGCUGAGGCUCGAAAGCGUGGGGAGCGAACAGGAUUAGAUACCCUGGUAGUCCACGCCGUAAACGAUGAGUGCUAGGUGUUGGAUCCUUUCCGGGAUUCAGUGCCGCAGCUAACGCAUUAAGCACUCCGCCUGGGGAGUACGACCGCAAGGUUGAAACUCAAAGGAAUUGACGGGGGCCCGCACAAGCGGUGGAGCAUGUGGUUUAAUUCGAAGCAACGCGAAGAACCUUACCAGGUCUUGACAUCCCGAUGCUAUUUCUAGAGAUAGAAAGUUACUUCGGUACAUCGGUGACAGGUGGUGCAUGGUUGUCGUCAGCUCGUGUCGUGAGAUGUUGGGUUAAGUCCCGCAACGAGCGCAACCCCUAUUGUUAGUUGCCAUCAUUCAGUUGGGCACUCUAGCGAGACUGCCGGUAAUAAACCGGAGGAAGGUGGGGAUGACGUCAAAUCAUCAUGCCCCUUAUGACCUGGGCUACACACGUGCUACAAUGGUUGGUACAACGAGUUGCGAGUCGGUGACGGCGAGCUAAUCUCUUAAAGCCAAUCUCAGUUCGGACUGUAGGCUGCAACUCGCCUACAUGAAGUCGGAAUCGCUAGUAAUCGCGGAUCAGCACGCCGCGGUGAAUACGUUCCCGGGCCU
rnacentral:rRNA from 1 species